GUGCCAGCAGCCCGCGGUAAUACGUAGGGCGCAAGCGUUAUCCAGGAAUUAUUGGGCGUAAAGAGCUCGUAGGCCGGUUUGUCGCGUCUGCCGUGAAAGUCCGGGGCUCAACUCCGGAUCUGCGGUGGGUACGGGCAGACUAGAGUGAUGUAGGGGAGACCUGGAAUUCCUGGUGUAGCGGUGAAAUGCGCAGAUAUCAGGAGGAACACCGAUGGCGAAGGCAGGUCUCUGGGCAUUAACUGACGCUGAGGAGCGAAAGCAUGGGGAGCGAACAGGAUUAGAUACCCUGGUAGUCC
rnacentral:rRNA from 1 species